ACAGAGGGGGCAAGCGUUAUUCGGAAUUAUUGGGCGUAAAGGGCGCGUAGGCGGUGUUUUAAGUGGGAUGUGCAAUCCCCGGGCUUAACCUGGGAACUGCAUCCCAGACUGGAACGCUGGAGUACUGGAGAGGGUGGUGGAAUUCCACGUUUAGAGGUGAAAUGCGGAGAGAUGUUGAGGAGCUCCAGUUUCGAAGGCUGCCACCUGGUCAGUAGCUGAGGCUGAGGCUCGAAAGUGUUGGUAGGCUGCUG
rnacentral:rRNA from 1 species